UGCCAUUCCUAAAAUUUAAUGCUUACUACCCAAGUUUGGUAUGCUAAGUACCUCUAAGCCAAUGUUUCUCCUCCGAUAGCUCCUCGGCCAAGGUAUGGAUGGAAGAAACCCAAUAGUGGCUGCUUUAGUGUUUGUGUGGAUGGUGCCUUAGACGAGACUUUUCAUGUUGGUGGUGGUGUUGGUAUUGUGGUUAGAGAUGAGUGUGGUCAGUUUAUCUGUGGGAAGGCUUUGUCUUUUGAUUAGGUUUCCUCCCCCGCUCAUAUUGAAGCUUCAUAUGGUAAAGUUGUCUACAACCUUGUCACACCCCAAACCCGGUGUCGGUGGUUUCCAAGCACCUGACGCCGAACCUGAGGCGUGAGCGGGAAAAGUAAAUGAAAAUAAAACAAUUUCAAAUACCUUUCUCGAAAUAAAAGAAAAUAAAACUUUUACAAUAACAAAAACAAUUACAAAGACAAAACAGGCAGGCCUUACGAUCUAUCUCACUUCUAAUCUUCCGUAACUCUUUUCUACUCUUGCACACGUCUCCUAAACUUCACGGUUAGAUUUCUCAAAAUACGUUCCUUGUACGUACCUGAACAAAAGGCUACAGGGGUGAGCUUACGCUCAGUAGGGCCAAACCCCUUAAGUUAUACUUAACUAAGUCGCAAGAACAAGUUAUCAAGCAAUGUCAAACUACUUUACAAAUAAAACGACAAUUCGAUGCAUGUAUGCUAAUGAAUGUCAUCCUCAAUUACUAGCUAUCAGUCCAUACAUCAAAGACAGGUGAGCCUACACGUCCCAUACCGUGUAUUUUACCAACCGGGGAUGACUCAAAUGUCUCGAAUAUAUGAUCUAACAAUCAGUAAUAUCUCACCACCAGUACCUCUUUUGUUAGUCAUCUUCUUAUACUCAUGGUCUCCCGAUCUGCAACCCGAUAAAGAUCAUUUUAUCGAUGUCCGUCAUCGAAAGGGCAUACAUUCCCUGAAUUUGUGCACAUGUGGGCUAAUCAUAGAUCCCGAGGAGAACCCAUGAGGAAACUCAACUACACAAAAUGUAUCUAUUCUAUCAAUCUCUUUCUCAUCUCCACAAUCACCAAUCUCACUAAUCUCACAAUUCCUCACAAUGCGUUAUGCAUGUCAAUUGAAUAUCAACACGCGUAAUAUAACAAUAUCAAACACAUGCUUUUACGGAAAGCAAUAACAUCAAUCAUAUAUUUCAACAAUUACACAUGCUUUUAAGAAAAACAAUAACAACCAAGAGUUAAUCACUCAAUGGCGAACAAAACAACGAUUUCAAUUAUAAUCUAAUUAUCAAUUUAAGAAAGGUUCCCCAAGAAAGACCCUACCUGGAAUCCAAGCGUUAGUUCCGACGCUAAUUAAAAUUAGUAACUCUGUGACACGCAUUCUGAAAUCUUUAUCCUUCUGCUCCUGGAAUCUCGCAUCUCACAUUCGAUCCUCGUACCAAAUCCUUAUUUUGAGAAUGUCGGAGUAUCCCAACUAUAUAUGCACCAAUAUAAACUCUAGAUUUACUCUGAACACCCAAAUUACCAUCCUCCGAUUCCAUUGACCUUCAUAGUCAAGUUCUAGAAUUAUGGACACCCAAAAACAAGUGACCAAUUCUUCCAUUCCGUCCUUCAAAUUGCUAUGGACACCUACAGUUUGUUUCCAUCCAUCCUCGUACCAUUAUUCUGAAAACAAUGCUCCAUCAUACCAUUGCUUCCACUUUUCCGGAUGCACAUACUUUAUUUGCCAUAACAUAUACCAUCUAGCUCCAUUGCUUGCCACAAUCCAUAUUAAGACAAACUAUGAAACUUAAUCUUCACAGUAUUAAUAUUCGCACUUCAACUUCCAUUAACACAAAAGCCCAGAACCUACAAUUAUAUAUGCUUUGGCUCCUAACAUCGUAAUCGACCAUACUACCUAAUUCUUCAGCAAGACUUAACCAUCUAAUUACCCAAUUCUUCCAGCUUCUUGGACGUAAGUAUAUACACAACUAACAUCUUUUCUGCAGCUUAAGGGAAGUAGACUACUCAAGAAUUUAACAUUUCAUUUCUUUUAUGUCGAAAUUGAAUAAAGAAUUCAGAAAAUCGAAUAAAAAAAGAAGAAUGAAUCAAUGAACUGGUGCUUGAUCUUCUUUGGCAACUUGAGUAAGGAGUAGGCCCUUUGUGGGGUUUUUAUAGAAUUUUUUCGAAUUUUAAAGUAGGAACCCCUCUCUUUAUCUUUAUUUGGUGUAACUACUGGAGCCGGAUGAGAGGAAACUUUCAUGUCCGAUUUUGAAAGGGGGAGAUCCUAUCCAAAUUUUUCUUUUGCUUAGGCCCAUCGCUAAAAACCCACUUUCUUACGAUUACGAGGUUCAUUCGAAUACGAAAUCCAAUCUUGGAAAUACAGUAUCCCAUUUUUUUUACUACUCCAGGCUUCGAUACAUUUAUGUCAGAACUUAAACAGACAAUACCAAAACUUCCACUGCAAUCACCGAGCACACAGCUCAUCAUCCCUCUCCAUCACCCAGCUUCUCCAUUUCUGCAAAUUCCAACUCCUUCAAUUCUAAAUCAAAACUGCAUCUCAAGUACACAUAAAACAUGAAAUCCGAAACCAGAUAUGAAUCAAACACCUGCACCACCGCCGUGCACGGCGGCACGUACGGCAGUCACCCACUGCCAAAAAUCUAAAUUCUCCAUCUCUCAACAAAACUCAAUUCCAAUUAUAGAAACAUGUAAAGCUCAUCGAAUAGACAACUUUAAUACCUGAGUCGACAUCAAGCUUCACCGGAAUCCGUCGAACCUCGCCGGAAAACUCAGAACUUCAACCCUUCAAAUCUCCCUCCUUAGAGCUCGUCUUGGACAACCAAAGACAUAGAGAGGUUCACCAAGUCGAGGUGAAGCUACCAACACCAUCCAUGCCCGCCGUCGUGGCCGGAAUCCAAAGUUGGCCGGCGAACCCAGCCUUUCCUCUUCUUCUUCGAUUCUUCUUCACCGAUAAAUACCAUGGAGAAGACCAGGACGUCGAGACAAAGCCGUCGCCACCUUUCUUUCUCCUCGCCGUCGCCGGAGGACGGAGCGGCAGUCGGGUCGCCCGUCACUGCUAUUCAGGUCGACAGAGACCCGGUUUGGGUCUGAGUUUGUUGUUCUAAUCUGAUCCCACUCUCUUCUGCUAUGUAUAACAAGCAUGCACGGCUGACAUUCAGCGGUCUAUCCAACGACCCAGAUUUUCACCGAUUUUGAUUCUCUAUUUUUAAUUAAAUUUUUGGAUAAUACAAACUUCCAAAAAUCAUUAAAAAUAGCUCUGAUAGUUCAAACGAUGUUCCGAAAAAUCUCGCAAACUCAUAAAGACGUCUAGGUUAAUCCUAUGGGCUCGAAAGACAAAAUUUGAAUAACUUUUUUGAAAACCACAAAGAAUUUGAAAAAAUAAUAGAAAUUGAAAUAAAAAUAGCUUAAAAACGAUUUUUCUUUUAAAAAUAGAAAACCGAAAUUCUGGGAUAUUACAAACAUAGUAUUGGAACACAAAUUUAGCCCAACCUAAUUGGAGUCAUGCACUCUUCUUUUUAUGCAAGUCAUCCACUCAAUUCAUGAUUUUGUUGUUCUUUUAAGAGUGAUUUAUGAAGAUGUCAUGCAUCUCUUGCUCAGCUAUCAGGUUGCAACUUCACUCA
rnacentral:lncRNA from 1 species